AGGGAAGCCCAAAGCUAAACAUACUUUUAUCAUGCAAUCCAGCAAUCAUGCUUCUCGGUAUUUUUCAAAAAAAUUGAAAGUUGAAAAAUUAUGUCCACACAAAAACCUGCACACGAUUUUUAUAGCAGCUUUAUUCAUAAUUGCCCAAACUUGGAAGCAACCAACAUGUCCUUUAGUAGGUAAGCAGGUAAAUAAACUAUGGUACAUCCAGGUAAUGGAAUAUUAUUCAGCACUUAAAAGAAAUGAGCUAUCAAGCCAUCAAAAGACAUAGUGGAAACUCAAAUGCAUGUUACUAGUGAAAGAAGCCAAUCUGAAAAGGCUACAUACUAGAUGAUUCCAACUAUAUGACAUUCUAGAAAGGAGAAGAGCAUGGAGACAAUAGAAAGGUCAGUGGUUGCCAUGGGUGGAUCAGGUGACAUGAAUAGACAGAGCACAGAGCAUUUUUAGGGCAGUAACAAUACCCCGUAUGAUAUUAUAAUAAUGGUGGUAUGUGAUAACACAUUUGUCUAAACCCAUAGAAUGUACAAGACUCAGAGUGAACCCUAAGUUAAACACCCUGUUCAUUCUGGUUGAUUGUACUAUGUCAACAUUGACUGUAUUGUGUCAAAUGUACCAAAAAGGGGACAUUUUUUCAUCCUUGGUAAAAAAUGUACCAUUCUGAUGAGUGAUGUUGAUAAUGGGGCAAGCUGUGCAUGUGUGGGGUGGGGGUGUAUGGGAGCUCUCUGUACUUUCGUCUCAAUUUUGUUGUACACCUAAAAUUUCUUUUAAAAAAUAAGGUUUUUUAAAAAGUUAAUAACAUGAGAUAUGAAGACAGAUGAGAUACGAAUGGAUGGCAAAAAUACAAUCAAACAGUUAAACUCCAUUGUGGAAGUGGAAAUAAGCAAAACUGACAGUGUAGAAGAUGGAAUCAGUGAGGGACUUCCCUGGCGGUCCAGUGGUUAGGACUCUGCGCUUUCACUGCCGAGGGCCCGGGUUUGAUCCCUGAUUGGGGAACUAAGAUCCCACAAGCCAUGCGGCUCAGCCAAAGAAAAGAAAAAAAAGGAAAAUCGAAUCAGUGAUCUGGAGGUUAAUCUUGACAAGUCUACCAGAAUGUAUAGGAAAAGAACAUUGAGUUAGAAAUGAUAAGAGAAAAAGGAAGAAUUGUUGAAAAAAGAAAUAGAUACUAUGAAAGAGAAUGGGAAUCCAAUUGAAGAAUUAUAGCACUAUUAAGGAAAACCCCAGAACAGUAGAAGAAGAAGUUACAAAAACUUUUAUUGAAGAAAACAUUUCCAAGCUGGAAAGAGACCAGCGUAUAUAGAUUGAAUGGGCUCACAUAUUUCAGAUAAAAUCAAUUUUAAAAGACCCACAUCUAGACACAUACUUAAAACAUUUUUGAAUUCCAAGAACAAAAAAAGAAAGGUGCUACAAGUAUCCAGGUAGGAAAUAACACCCCCUGGAAAACAAAUUAUUGAUGGAAGAAAAAACACCAGACUGACUUCUGACCACUUUGUAGUAACCGUACUAACUGUCAGAAAACCAUGGAGAAGCAUCUAAAAGAAUUUUAUACUCAUAUACAUUUUUAUAUGUGUACAUGACCUCUCUUCCUAAUAUUUUCCAAUUUUCUUGCCAGAUUUUCCCUGACAUUACAAAAUACACCAAUGAGACGGAGUAGUACUCGGAAAAAGUUCUAGUUCAUCCACCAUGCUGAUUUAGCUCCUUGAUGAAGUUCUCACGCUACAGGUUCCCUGACUCUUUCUGGAGCUUCAGAGAAGCAUGAGUCCUGUGCAGCACACCUAGGCUGGAGGGGACCUUCUUCAGACACAUCUCUGUGCAGUGAGCUUCUCCAAUGGAUGUCUACUCUGGGUUCUCCAAUCUCGUGAGCUGAAGCACGUGGUGGCAAUACUCUGGUCAGCUUGCCCCCUGAAGAACAUUCUCGC